ACGCAUCGCGACCCCAGAUCAGGCGGGAUUACCCGCUGAGUUUAA
rnacentral:rRNA from 1 species